GACGGAGGAUGCAAGCGUUAUCCGGAAUUAUUGGGCGUAAAGAGCUCGUAGGCGGUGUGUCGCGUCGGCCGUGAAAACCUGGGGCUUAACUCUGGGCGUGCGGUCGAUACGGGCAUCACUGGAGUUCGGCAGGGGAGACUGGAAUUCCUGGUGUAGCGGUGAAAUGCGCAGAUAUCAGGAGGAACACCGGUGGCGAAGGCGGGUCUCUGGGCCGAUACUGACGCUGAGGAGCGAAAGCAUGGGUAGCGAACAGG
rnacentral:rRNA from 1 species